AUGUAUAUUCAUACAACGUUAAUGCAUCACAUCCCAUUAGAACUUCGUAGUUAAGUGCACUUGGGCUAGAGUAGUACUAGGAUGGGUGAUGUCCCGGGAAGUCUUAGUGUUUUACAUG
rnacentral:rRNA from 1 species